rnacentral:rRNA from 1 species
GAUGAACGCUGGCGGCGUGCUUAACACAUGCAAGUCGAACGAAGCACUUAAGAACGAUUCUUCGGAUGAAGUCUUUUGUGACUGAGUGGCGGACGGGUGAGUAACGCGUGGGUAACCUGCCUCACACAGGGGGAUAACAGUUGGAAACGACCGCUAAUACCGCAUAAGCCAACAGGGGCGCAUGCUCUGGUUGGAAAAGAUUAAUCGGUGUGAGAUGGACCCGCGUCUGAUUAGCCAGUUGGCAGGGUAACGGCCUACCAAAGCGACGAUCAGUAGCCGGCCUGAGAGGGUGAACGGCCACAUUGGGACUGAGACACGGCCCAAACUCCUACGGGAGGCAGCAGUGGGGAAUAUUGCACAAUGGGGGAAACCCUGAUGCAGCGACGCCGCGUGAGUGAAGAAGUAUUUCGGUAUGUAAAGCUCUAUCAGCAGGGAAGAAAAUGACGGUACCUGAUUAAGAAGCCCCGGCUAACUACGUGCCAGCAGCCGCGGUAAUACGUAGGGGGCAAGCGUUAUCCGGAUUUACUGGGUGUAAAGGGAGCGUAGACGGUGAUGCAAGUCAGAAGUGAAAGCCCGGGGCUCAACUCCGGGACUGCUUUUGAAACUGUGUAACUGGAGUGCAGGAGAGGUAAGCGGAAUUCCUAGUGUAGCGGUGAAAUGCGUAGAUAUUAGGAGGAACACCAGUGGCGAAGGCGGCUUACUGGACUGUAACUGACGUUGAGGCUCGAAAGCGUGGGGAGCAAACAGGAUUAGAUACCCUGGUAGUCCACGCCGUAAACG